UACGUAGGGUGCAAGCGUUGUCCGGAAUUAUUGGGCGUAAAGAGCUCGUAGGCGGUCUGUCGCGUCGGAUGUGAAAAUCCAGGGCUCAACCCUAGACCUGCAUUCGAUACGGGCAGACUAGAGUUCGGCAGGGGAGACUGGAAUUCCUGGUGUAGCGGUGGAAUGCGCAGAUAUCAGGAGGAACACCGGUGGCGAAGGCGUGUCUCUGGGCAGUAACUGACGCUGAGGAGCGAAAGCGUGGGGAGCGAACAGG
rnacentral:rRNA from 1 species